rnacentral:rRNA from 1 species
CCUACGGGAGGCAGCAGUGAGGAAUAUUGGUCAAUGGACGAGAGUCUGAACCAGCCAAGUAGCGUGAAGGAUGACUGCCCUAUGGGUUGUAAACUUCUUUUAUAUGGGAAUAAAAUGUUCCACGUGUGGGAUUUUGUAUGUACCAUAUGAAUAAGGAUCGGCUAACUCCGUGCCAGCAGCCGCGGUAAUACGGAGGAUCCGAGCGUUAUCCGGAUUUAUUGGGUUUAAAGGGGGCGUAGGUGGAUUGUUAAGUCAGUUGUGCAAGUUUGCGGCUCAACCGUAAAAUUGCAGUUGAAACUGGGAGUCUGGAGUACAGGAGAGGUGGGCGGAAUUCGUGGUGUAGCGGUGAAAUGCUUAGAUAUCACGAAGAACUCCGAUUGCGAAGGCAGCUCACUGGACUGCAACUGACACUGAGGCUCGAAAGUGUGGGGAGCAAACAGGAUUAGAUACCACUGUAGUC